rnacentral:rRNA from 1 species
CAGUCGCCACGGUAAUACGGAGGGGGCUAGCGUUGUUCGGAAUUACUGGGCGUAAAGCGCACGCAGGCGGCUUGGUAAGUUAGAGGUGAAAGCCUGGAGCUCAACUCCAGAAUUGCCUUUAAGACUGCCGAGCUAGCAGGUGAGAGAGGUAAGUGGAAUUCCGAGUGUAGAGGUGAAAUUCGUAGAUAUUCGGAAGAACACCAGUGGCGAAGGCGGCUUACUGGCUCAUACUGGACGCUGAGGUGCGAAAGCGUGGGGAGCAAACAGGAUUAGAUACCCGGGUAGUCCCUGUCUCUUAUAC